ensembl:snRNA RNU6-471P RNA, U6 small nuclear 471, pseudogene
GUGUUCACUUCGGCAGCACAUAUACACAAAUUGGAACUAUACAGAGAAGGUUAGCAUGGCCCCUGUGCAGGAUGACAUGCAAAUUUGCGAAGCAUUCCACAUUUUU